CCCAGUUAAGGAGUCAACUAUAAUCUUCUGUAUACCGCAGUGGAAGAGCUGAACAGGGCCUGUUUGCAUUACACUACAUUGUCAGAGAUAUAUCGCAAAAGACUCGGGACGUUGGAUUACGAUCUUGUGUCAACUUGCAGAUGAUAGCUCUAGAACACCAUCCGAGGUAGCGUGCACCACAGUUUUGCGAGAAUACGAUUAUGUUGGAACUGUAUCAAGAUUCUGAGGCGCACAAUCUUAUCACUUGAUUUUCCUGCGAUUGACAUUCACAAUCCUACGUGGUACAUCUCAAACAUGCGGGUGUAAAACUUAAAUGCUAUAGAAAUGAUUAUGCAAACCAAGUUAUGGAAAAGGCCCAUCAACUUUAGCCCCAUUUGAAAAGAAGAAAGUCUGUGUUCAUUGUUCCAGCUUCGAAGGUUGGAGGUGACACUGCUUCAAACAGCUCCUGUGGAGGUAUUCAGCUGGACCCCCUGCAGAAGUCUGCCCUUCCCACACUGUUGAAAGGAGGUCAACGUGGAGAGUAGCUGUGCCUGCGUCAACAGGACGGAUUUCACCCAGUCCUGUUGGCUGCUUCGCCUUCUCCAUGACUCGUGUCUCACCGGUGACCUCGGCGAAGAUGAGGACUGUUAACGCCAAGUUGCAGAGCUCAGGGUUGGGUCUCUCUCACAAGGUUUGUGGUAUGGUAAUCCCUACCGUGGAGCAUACACCCAUUAAAAAUGAAACAGACACAUACAAAUGCACAUACACGCACAGACACAUGCACACCCACACACACAGGCUGCAGUGUACCCCAGUGCUGAUUAUUAAUUCAUGCCCUAGAAACAUCAGUAGGACCUACAUGGGAUCAGAUCACAGGAUGAAGAGGAUGACGGUGAUGAUGAUUGUGUUGAUGUUUAUGCUGAUGGUGAUGAUAGUGACCAUGAUGAUGUUUUCACUCACUACUGUAAAUCCUUCUAGUUUAGAGAUUUUGCUGAAUGACCUGAAAGGUAAUGAAGAGGAUGUUAAUGGUGAUAAUAAAGGUGGCGAUGAUGAUGGUUAUGGAGAUGACAAAGUUGAUGGUAAUGAUGAUAGUGGUAUGGUGAUAAUGGUGAUGUUUUUGGUGAUAAUGGUGAUGCUUUUGGUG